rnacentral:rRNA from 1 species
GUGCCAGCAGCCGCGGUAAUACGAAGGGGGCUAGCGUUGUUCGGAAUUACUGGGCGUAAAGGGCGCGUAGGCGGUCUUGUAAGUCAGGCGUGAAAGGCCCGGGCUCAACCUGGGGACUGCGCUUGAUACUGCGGGGCUUGAAUCCGGGAGAGGAUGGCGGAAUUCCCAGUGUAGAGGUGAAAUUCGUAGAUAUUGGGAAGAACACCGGUGGCGAAGGCGGCCAUCUGGACCGGUAUUGACGCUGAGGCGCGAAAGCGUGGGGAGCAAACAGGAUUAGAUACCCUGGUAGUCCACGCCGUAAACGAUGAGUGCUAGACGUUGGGGAGCAUGCUCUUCGGUGUCGACGCUAACGCAUUAAGCACUCCGCCUGGGGAGUACGGCCGCAAGGUUAAAACUUAAGGGAAUUGACGG